rnacentral:misc_RNA from 1 species
AAGUUGGCCCAGAGCAUCUUAUAUGUAUAUAUAUUUUUUUUGGUUAAAUUCAUCUUCUGCAAAGCAAUUUUGGAGUAGUAGUUCUUUGGAAGAAACAAGUUCUGAAAUAUAAAAUUGCUCUAGACUUGGAUUGCUAGUUUGCUACCUUAGGAGAGUUAGAAUGAAGGAUUUAUAUGCAUUAUAUCAUGCUUUUGUAGCUUUCGCAGGAAGUUUAUAAUUAAUUGGUAGUAGAUGACCAGUAGUUAAUCUUACCCUGUACGAAAAUAAUAGUCUCCUUGGUGUUGUUUUUUGUGAAGCAUGUACAUACUAAAUCACGGUACAAUUAAUUUUUUCCUUUUAUU